rnacentral:lncRNA from 1 species
GCCAUUCUUGAAGCUUCCAUGCCAUUUUCUCUUUAUCCACCAUGAAAUCAAGUUUUCUUCACUUCUCUUUCCAUGUUUUCUUUUCCUUUCUUCUCCAAACUUCUUAAGCAUUAAAUUUAUAGCCUUUAACCCCAAUUUCCAGCACACCUAAACCCUAGGAAGAGAAGAAAGAAAAAGAGAGAAAGGAAGAAAAAGCUUGGUUUUAGCGAUUCGAGUAAGGAAUGGUAAGAAUUCUUGUUUUUGGCUUGCGUAGUUUUUGAAAAUGAGUCAGUGACUCAGAGAAAUGUCUUGUAGCAGCAAAGAUUGGCUUGAUUGGAGAAAAAUUGGUAACAUGUAAGCCAAUAAACCCAUGGGUACAUGAAGGACUCAAAGUGGAAAAGGAAAACGGUAAGCUUAACACUACGUUUUAAAGCCUACGGUUAGUUGAAUAUUGUGAUGGAAUUAUGGUUGUUGAAAGGAUCUAUUUGCAUAAGCUAGUUGAAAAUUGUUAAGAUUGUAUGGCAUGUUGUUUGAAAGAAAUAAAAAAAGAAUAUUGUGGAUGGAGGAUUGAGAAACAAAGUAUUGAAAGUUAGAUAGAUAAUGAUGCGUGUAAACUAGGAAAUAAUUGAGUGAAAGUCAGAAUAAUUGUUGCUGCCAUAUAUGUGGAUUAUGUGUGGAAAUAUAAGAUGGGUUUGGGCGAAAAUUAUUUAGAAAGGUUGAAGUAGGCACAUGACAUCAUAAAUAAGUUACCGGUAAUAUAAUCUAAGGAAUUUCGUAAUCAAUGGAUUUAAGUAAUUUUGGUAAAAAUGUAUUAAGAAGUCAGUUAAUUGAAGAUGGUUUCAUGAUAGAAUGAAAAUAUAAAUUUGAGUAAGGAUUAAUUGAUUGAAGUGCUGCUCGUAUACGUAUGUAAUUAAAUAUAUUGAGUUCGCAUUAUUGCUAGGAAGUGCAAAGAUAAAGUUAGAGAACUGUGGUGGCAUGUCGGAGUAAAUAACGAGCGACCGGCCAGUGAAAAUAGUUAGAGACACCUCCGAACAAAUAGCGACUUAAAAUCUCAUUGUUGCCAAAUGAGUGAACUUGCAUUAAAAUGUCUUGGGAUAAUACACAUUUAUGUUUGAUUGAAUCGUCUAAAACGUUUUAUUGGUUUUUCUUCAAAAACUUGCACAGGAACAAGCCCUUAAGAAAUGUUUUUAUGUUAUGAAAUGGAUAGUGUGAUGAAUUCAUAUGUUUCUGUAUAAUGAUAUAUAUAUAUACUAUGUCAUAAAUGGUACCAUUGUGUGGCAAAUGCAACCGUGCAUGUGCGGAGUGGGCAGUGCACAUGUUGGUAAUGAUUCUGUCGUGAUAAUUACAACCGUGCAUGUGUGAAGUGGGCAGUGUGCAUGUCGGUAAUGAUGAUGUCGUGAUAAUUACAACCGUGCAUGUGAGGAAUGGGCAGUGCACAUGCUGAUAAUGAUGCUAUUGUUAUAAUUACAACCGUGCAUGUGCAGAGUAGGCAGUGCACAUGCCGGUGAUGAUGUACAUGAGCUGGAUGAGGUGUGGUGCUAUGUUAAUUGAUAUAUGCUUAAGCAUAUGUAUAUGCAAUAGAAAGAUUAUGAUUAUAAUAUGUGAUUAUAUGGCAUGAUAAAUCUUGAAAAUUUCCCAUUUACAUGUGAAUUGAUUUUAUUGCAACAAGAACAUUCUAUUUAUACUGCCUUGCUUGGAUGAUUGUUGGAAAUUUCCUUCCUUUUUGAUUUCCUGCUAAAUAUGGUUCCUUCAUUAUGAAAUGAUUUAAUAACCCGGGGUUGAUGGAAGGAUUUUAAUAAGAACUUGAACUAGGUUGCACUGUUUUCGAACUUAAGUGCAUCAUGAUUUCUAAAUCAUUCCUUGUAAUUGCUUGUUCCCUUCCUAUGUUCACUCACUGAGUUUAUACUCACGUUUUCAACUUCAUGUUUUCAGAUUCAAGGGUGGUUGAGACGUAGAUUGAGGUGUUCGUGUACUCCCAUCUUUUGGGCAAGUACUUUGACAUUCAGUAGUCAUAUCUCCCAUCCAGAGUCACUCCGCUGACGGUCAAGGUCUAAUCAUGUGUAUAUGAAUACUUGGUGUGAAAUAUUAAGAAUCAUUUGUUACUCUAUCUAUAAAUAUAUAGGUGGAUGAUGCCAUUAUGAAUGUAUGAUUGAGUUUUAUGAAUUAUUUUUAAACGAAC